AGAUUGAACGCUGGCGGCAUGCCUUACACAUGCAAGUCGAACGGCAGCACGGGAGCAAUCCUGGUGGCGAGUGGCGAACGGGUGAGUAAUAUAUCGGAACGUGCCCAGUCGUGGGGGAUAACGUAGAGAAAUUUACGCUAAUACCGCAUACGAUCUAAGGAUGAAAGCGGGGGACUUCGCAAGAGGCCUCGCGCGAUUGGAGCGGCUGAUAUCAGAUUAGGUUGUUGGUGAGGUAAAAGCUCACCAAGCCGACGAUCUGUAGCUGGUUUGAGAGAACGACCAGCCACACUGGGACUGAGACACGGCCCAGACUCCUACGGGAGGCAGCAGUGGGGAAUUUUGGACAAUGGGCGAAAGCCUGAUCCAGCAAUGCCGCGUGCAGGAAGAAGGCCCUUGGGUUACGUAAACUGUCUUUUAGGUACGUAACGAAAGGUACUGCCUAAUACGGCGGCCCAUGACGUACCGUAAGAAUAAGCACCGACUAACUACGUGCCAGCA
rnacentral:rRNA from 1 species